rnacentral:rRNA from 1 species
AAUAUUGGACAAUGGGCGAAAGCCUGAUCCAGCCAUGCCGUGUGAGUGAUGAAGGCCUUACGGUUGUAAAGCUCUUUCUGUGGGGAAGAUAAUGACGGUACCCACAGAAGCAGCCUCGGCUAACCUCCUUCCAGCAGCCGCGGUACUACGAAGGGGGCUAGCGUUGUUCGGAUUUACUGGGCGUAAAGCGACCGUAGGCGGAUUGGUCUGUUAGGGGUGAGAUCCCAGAGCUCAACUCUGGAACUGCCCUUAAUACUGCCAGUCUAGAGUCCGGAAGAGGUGAGUGGAACUCCUAGUGUAGGGGUGGAAUUCGUAGAUAUUAGGAAGAACACCAGUGGCGAAGGCGGCUCACUGGUCCGGUACUGACGCUGAGGUGCGAAAGCGUGGGGAGCAAAC